rnacentral:lncRNA from 10 species
AAAGGCCCCUAGCACAACAGAAAGGGCAUUUAAGGAGAGAAAGCUUAGGAACUCUGACACCUAGGAACUUGCUCUGAGAUUUCACCACUCCUGUGUCCUUUCGUUAAUCUGCCAGAUGUUCCUGAUCAGCCAAUGUUUGGAAGAAGGGUAGUUACUGGUCUGCAGCAGGGCACUGGGGCAGGACGCGAGGAGGAAGGCACUGCUUUGGGCCCGGGCAAGGGCCAACUAUAUGUGACCCCAGGAGCUCCCCUUUUCCACCCCAGGGGCCCCACCUUUGUGUCCAGAGGCCCCUCUACCUAACUGUGUCCUGCAUUCGUGGGUUCUUGGUCUCACUGACUUCAAGAACGAAGCCACGGACCCUUGCAGUGAGUGUUACAGCUCUUAAGGUGGUGCGUCUGGAGUUUGUUCCUUCUGAUGUUCGGACGUGUUCGGAGUUUCUUCCUUCUGUGUGGGUUCGUGGUCUAGCUGGCUCAGGAGUGAAGCUACAGACCUUCGCGGUGAGUGUUACAGCUCUUAAGACGGCGCAUCUGGAGUUGUUCAUCCCUCCCGGUGGGCUCGUGGUCUCGCUGGCUUCAGGAGUGAAGCUGCAAACCUUAGCGCUCAUCAUAUGAUGCUUCUCUAUGGGAUGACCCUGAUCAGAUGCCAGAAC